rnacentral:rRNA from 1 species
GCAGUAGCCGCGGGAAUACGAAGGGUGCAAGCGUUAAUCGGAAUUACUGGGCGUAAAGCGUGCGUAGGCGGUUUGUUAAGUCUGUUGUGAAAUCCCCGGGCUCAACCUGGGAAUGGCAAUGGAUACUGGCAAGCUAGAGUGUGUCAGAGGAUGGUGGAAUUCCCGGUGUAGCGGUGAAAUGCGUAGAGAUCGGGAGGAACAUCAGUGGCGAAGGCGGCCAUCUGGGACAACACUGACGCUGAGGCACGAAAGCGUGGGGAGCAAACAGGAUUAGAGACCCGCGUAGUCCCUGUCUCUUAUAC